GACGUAGGGCGCGAGCGUUGUCCGGAAUUAUUGGGCGUAAAGAGCUCGUAGGCGGUUUGUCGCGUCUGCUGUGAAAACCCGAGGCUCAACCUCGGGCCUGCAGUCGAUACGGGCAGGCUAGAGUUCGGUAGGGGAGACUGGAAUUCCUGGUGUAGCGGUGAAAUGCGCAGAUAUCAGGAGGAACACCGGUGGCGAAGGCGGGUCUCUGGGCCGAUACUGACGCUGAGGAGCGAAAGCGUGGGGAGCGAACAGG
rnacentral:rRNA from 1 species